GGAUGUGACAGUUAUUCAGCUGUGGCAUCUGUUACUCUGUGGUCAUCAAAGCUGAUUUGGCUGAUAUGGCUGUCUAGACAGGCGUCGCCUGUUUCCCUCUCAACUCUCUGUGUCUCUUCCAGAGCUGUGUGCUUGGUCAAAGAGCUCUAACCUCCAUUAGAGUAGGAAAAGUCUUCAGUUAAGAAUAUAGGGGUGACUGUGUUCCCCUGUCAGAAUCCCCUAACAAGCCAUCAGUAUACCAGUACACAACACAUUAGCCCCUGGGAACAUUUCCUGUUCAAACCUUAACAAGUCCACAGUGGUCCACAGCACGACCUGAUUU
rnacentral:snRNA from 1 species